AGCGAACGCUGGCGGCAGGCUUAACACAUGCAAGUCGAACGCAUCCUUCGGGGUGAGUGGCAGACGGGUGAGUAACACGUGGGAACAUACCUUUUGGUUCGGAAUAACUCAUGGAAACGUGAGCUAAUACCGGAUACGCCCUUCUGGGGAAAGAUUUAUUGCCGAAAGAUUGGCCCGCGUCUGAUUAGCUAGUUGGUAAGGUAAUGGCUCGCCAAGGCGACGAUCAGUAGCUGGUCUGAGAGGAUGAUCAGCCACACUGGGACUGAGACACGGCCCAAACCCCUACGGGAGGCAGCAGUGGGGAAUAUUGGACAAUGGGCGCAAGCCUGAUCCAGCCAUGCCGCGUGAGUGAUGACGGCCUUCGGGUUGUAAAGCUCUUUUGUCCGGGAAGAUAAUGACUGUACCGGAAGAAUAAGCCCCGGCAAACUUCGUGCCAGCAGCCGCGGUAA
rnacentral:rRNA from 1 species